rnacentral:rRNA from 1 species
CCUACGGGUGGCAGCAGUGAGGAAUAUUGGUCAAUGGGCGUAAGCCUGAACCAGCCAAGUCGCGUGAGGGAUGAAGGUUCUAUGGAUCGUAAACCUCUUUUAUAAGGGAAUAAAGUGUGGGACGUGUCCUAUUUUGUAUGUACCUUAUGAAUAAGGAUCGGCUAACUCCGUGCCAGCAGCCGCGGUAAUACGGAGGAUCCGAGCGUUAUCCGGAUUUAUUGGGUUUAAAGGGUGCGUAGGCGGCCUUUUAAGUCAGCGGUGAAAGUCUGUGGCUCAACCAUAGAAUUGCCGUUGAAACUGGCGGCCUCGAGUGGGCGAGAAGUAUGCGGAAUGCGUGGUGUAGCGGUGAAAUGCAUAGAUAUCACGCAGAACUCCGAUUGCGAAGGCAGCAUACCGGCGCCCGACUGACGCUGAGGCACGAAAGCGUGGGUAUCGAACAGGAUUAGAUACCCCGGUAGUC